rnacentral:misc_RNA from 1 species
UUUCAGACCCUACUUUUCUUGCACUAGUUUUCUGUCCGCAUCUGUAAAUGCCAAUCCCUUCCCUUUUUUAAGCAUAGGUUACCAAAGCUCAGAGAAAACUUAGCUGUGACAGAAUCAAACUAAAGACAGCAGUAGUUUAUUAGAUUUCAGAUUAGAGCAUAUAUAUUUUAGGUCUGGCUUUGCAACUUAAUAAGAAACUGUAUGGUCAUUAUCUUGUAAUUGGUCCUGUUGUGAAACACCUGAGGGGUCAUGUUGAAGGUCACCCGCGAAAAGCAACAGUGCUAUCGCAACAUGGACUUCCGGGAACGGGGAAAAACUUCUUGUGUAGAAUGGUGGCAGAAAAUCUGUAUAUCAAAGGAAUGGACAGCAAAUAUGUUCAUAUUCUGUCAGCAACAAAGGACUUUCCUCAUGAAAAUAUGCUAGAAGAAUACAAACAACACAGGUGGAGAUGAAAAAGUUCUCUUGAACUUUGAACAGGGGAGAGACAAAAGAAAAUUAAGUCUGAAGGAAAUGGAAGAAGUUGUUCGGAUAUCUUUGUUUAAUGACACAAAUGGAUUAAUUCACAGCAGUAUUGUGAAGAGCAGCCUUAUCACUGCCUAUGUUCCGUUCUUACCAUUAGAAAGAGUGCACGUGGAAAGAUGCAUCGUGGACGGACUAUUUGCAAAGGGGUUUUAUGAAUAUGAAUAUCAGGUAGACCGAGAAACAGUUGGGACUAUUGCAAAUGAGCUUUUGUACUUUCCAAACGAUACACGUCUGUUUUCUACUACUGGAUGAAACGCGUGAUGGAGAAAAUUGAUUUGAUAAUGCAAGAAGAUGCGUAAGAUUUUAAGGAUGCAGAUUGAAGCUUUCUGUUUAUAUUAUGGGAAACACACGCUAUUGAAAUAUGCACUGAAAAAUUUGUACUUCUGCUGCUGCUACAAAUCUUAUUUUGUUGCCGUGACCUGGUAGAAGACAUUUCGAGGAAGGUUAAAGGAGAAACGUAGAUACUGUUAAUCCCGACACAAGACGGUUUGUCAUAGCUUCAUGAACUCUCUUUAUAUUGUUUGCAUAUAGAAGACCAUAAGGUAUUGAUAUAUCAACAUGGAAACAACGACACCUGAUACUUAUAUACCGACAUAUUUAUACUUAUUUAUUUUGAAAAUGCAUACAAUGUCUACAUUUUUUGUUUUCUGCAACAUUUGUAAUGUGAUUAAUAAUGAAAUGUUGUGUGAUAUCCAGGUACUAAAGAAUGGAAUAUCGCAAGUAACAAGUGGGUUUGCUAAGAGUAUUUAACAUACAUUAAAAGACAUCCAAGAAGACCCGCAAACUUGACCCACAUGAAACUUUUCUUCCGUCGAACAGAGACAGUUUUAUUCAUUUUUUCAACCAGUUUGAAAUAUCUACAAAAAGUAAAAACAUGUUUGGCGCUAAUGAUAUCAAUAUUUUAGACUCGGAUAAAUUAAGUAAAUAGUCAUGUUUUCUGUACUCUUCAACAGGCAAGCACUUUUAUGAUCAAUAUCUAUUUUACUUUAUAUUGUUAAGAAGGCCUCUCAAAAAACAGGAUUUUCUAAAUACUUUUAUUUCUCUCUUCUAAUAAAUUGUGUAUUAUUAGACUUAAGACAUUUAAAUAUUUAAUACCUGAGCCAUUCUUUUUAUCUUUCUGCUUGAUGAUCAUGAAUUUCUCUGAAUCUAUCUGUUUCUAUCAAUGUCUAGACUUAAUCUGCAACGGUCAUUUACAAAUUUGUAAAUAGCCCUAUUUAUAUCUAAAAAUAGAUGACGUUUAUAAACAACUUUGAUUUUCCCGUAAUUUUUACAUAUCCACCAAUUAGUGUCACUUCCUGUCCUACUUUGGCGUUCAUGUGCAUUGGGAAUAGUAAUGUUAAAUCUAACAUUACCAAGUCAUUAAAAAGUGUUUAAAAAGAAAAUGCAUGGAAUAAUAUGAACAAGGUAACAUUACAUUAGAUACAUAAAUAUUUACAUGAAUUAUUAUGCUUAUAGACGUUAUUUUGCCAUUAUAAAUGCAGCUGUUGUUUGUCAAAAUGGGUGGGGUAACCGGCAUAGCACUACCCCCGGCUUUCAAGAAUUGUCCCAAUUCUUUACUUGGAAUAGGUAAGUAUAUUAUAAGUGAAAAUAACAUUAAACAAUGUUGUGAUAUUAAAAGUUUUAGUAACGUCUUAUUAUUAUGCAAAUAUAAGCUUAUUGUUCAAAUAAAAGUAUAUAUAUUUCUACAUGAAUAUUAAAUAAAAUGUUCAUCUCAGUGUUCAUCUAACACUGA